rnacentral:rRNA from 1 species
UACGUAGGGUGCGAGCGUUAAUCGGAAUUACUGGGCGUAAAGGGUGCGCAGGCGGUUAUAUAAGACAGAUGUGAAAUCCCCGGGCUCAACCUGGGAACUGCGUUUGUGACUGUAUGACUAGAGUACGGUAGAGAGGGGUGGAAUUCCUGGUGUAGCAGUGAAAUGCGUAGAUAUUCGCAAGAACACCAGUGACGAAAGGCGGCUCGACUGGCCCGUAGUACCU